GGAGAGUAAACCUAGCAGGGGCUGGGACCUCGGUGCUAACGAGUGGGCGCAGGGCGAAAACUCUGCGUGCGGUUCGAGUCCGCUGCUCUCCG
rnacentral:tRNA from 1 species